UGGGGUAUCGCCAAGCGGUAAGGCCUCGGUUUCUGGUGCCGACAUUCGGGGGUUCGAAUCCCUCUACCCCAUCCA
rnacentral:tRNA from 1 species